CGAGUGAAGAGGGAAGAGCCCAAGAUUGAAAGCUGGCGCCUUCGGCGUCCGCAUUGUAAUCUCAAGAAGUGUUUUCCGCUUCGGACCAUGCCUAAGUCCCUUGGAAAAGGGCAUCAUAGAGGGUGAUAAUCCCGUACAUGGCAUGGAGCGCCCGAAGCUUUGUGAUACGCUUUCUAAGAGUCGAGUUGUUUGGGAAUGCAGCUCAAAAUGGGUGGUAAAUGCCAUCUAAGGCUAAAUAUUGGGGAGAGACCGAUAGCGAACAAGUACAGUGAUGGAAAGAUGAAAAGAACUUUGAAAAGAGAGUUAAACAGUACGUGAAAUUGCCAAAAGGGAAGGGUAGGAGGUCAGAGAUGCGUCGCAGGAUUCAGCCUUGCUUUUGCUUGGUGUUUUUCCUGCGUUGCAGGCCAACGUCGGUUUUGGGCACUGGAGAAGGGUAGGAGGAACGUGGCACCUCUCGGGGUGUGUUAUAGCCUCCUACUGGAUACAGCGACCGAGACCGAGGAACGCAGCGUACUCGUAAGAGCGGGCCUUUUGGCACCUUUACGCUUAGG
rnacentral:rRNA from 1 species